GACGAACGCUGGCGGCGUGCUUAACACAUGCAAGUCGAACGAAGAGCGAUGGACGCUUGCUUCUAUCAAUCUUAGUGGCGCACGGGUGAGUAACGCGUAAUCAACCUGCCCUUCAGAGGGGGACAACAGUUGGAAACGACUGCUAAUACCGCAUACGAUCUAAUCUGGGCAUCGAGGAGAGAUGAAAGGUGGCCUCUACAUGUAAGCCAUCACUGAAGGAGGGGAUUGCGCCUGAUUAGCUAGCUGGAGGGGUAACGGCCCACCAAGGCGAUGAUCAGUAACCGGUCUGAAAGGAUAAACGGCCAAAUUGGGACUGGAACACGGCCCACACCCCUACGGGAGGCAGCCGGGGGGGAACUUCCGCAAUGGACGAAAGUCUGACGGAGCAACGCCGCGUGAGCGAUGGCGGCCUUCGGGUUGUAAAGCUCUGUUAGUCGGGACGAAAGGCCUUCUUGCGAAUAGUGAGAAGGAUUGACGGUACCGGAAUAGAAAGCCACAGCUAACUACGUG
rnacentral:rRNA from 1 species